AUUGAACGCUGGCGGCAGGCCUAACACAUGCAAGUCGAACGGUAACAGGAAGAAGCUUGCUUCUUUGCUGACGAGUGGCGGACGGGUGAGUAAUGUCUGGGAAACUGCCUGAUGGAGGGGGAUAACUACUGGAAACGGUAGCUAAUACCGCAUAACGUCGCAAGACCACAGAGGGGGACCUUCGGGCCUCUUGCCAUCGGAUGUGCCCAGAUGGGAUUAGCUAGUAGGUGGGGUAACGGCUCACCUAGGCGACGAUCCCUAGCUGGUCUGAGAGGAUGACCAGCCACACUGGAACUGAGACACGGUCCAGACUCCUACGGGACGCAGCAGUGGGGAAUAUUGCACAAUGGGCGCAAGCCUGAUGCAGCCAUGCCGCGUGUAUGAAGAAGGCCUUCGGGUUGUAAAGUACUUUCAGCGGGGAGGAAGGGAGUAAAGUUAAUACCUUUGCUCAUUGACGUUACCCGCAGAAGAAGCACCGGCUAACUCCGUG
rnacentral:rRNA from 1 species